GCAGCAGGGACAAAAGUGGGCCUUGAGUUCGCUAUAAUGGCUGAGCAGCUUAAAAUCCAAGGCCUCUGUGCUGUAAUGGAGUUCUGGCGGGAUAAGGAGCAAGCUGAGAGCUCUGCCUCUGGGCAAGAGGUUGUCGAGAUGGUAUAAAACAUCUGUCUCUGCAGGCAGAGUUCAUCAGCUCCAUGGAAUCGGCUGCUGAGCAAGCAGUUCUCGGGACCAGGUUUUAAGUACAAGUAGAGUUGAAGUUGCCAGGGCUGUGGCACAGAUUAUAGUAAACGCAUCUCUACAUUCAAUUAAGAUUCAAGCGGAUGCCGCCAAAAGUCGAGGAAUCAAGCAUUGUUUGUGGGAGAUAGAGUCAACAGAAUACAAUGAACGACAAGUGAAGAAGCAAAUGGAAGACAUAAUUGGAUGUGCAAUGCAAUUCCUCGAGUUCAAAGCCAUCUACAUAAUGCCAAUAUCAUUAGGUAAUACUAUUUUUUGCUCCCACAUUCAAUCCUCCAACCCAUAUAACUUGAAUUCCUUUGGGGCUGAAGCCCCGUCAUAGGUUUCAGGUCGUGGGUCACCUCUUUGCACGUGCCCAUCAACAACUCCUACAUACUUUUAUUAUUAUUAUCAUUAGAGAUAAGUUCAUGCAUUGCACUCGAAACCUUGCUAUUUACAAAAAUAGCAUCCAUGUCAUUUUCUUUGAGCUAACCAACCAGUGUAUUUGUACGUGCCACAAUCUAAUCAUUGCAAAUAUGGAUUGAGGUUUUAUUGUGAAUUUUGAUGUUUAAUCGAGAACUUGAAAAACUGCUGAAAGAGGUGCUAGUUUCGUAAAUAGCAAA